UGGGGAAUAUUGGACAAUGGGCGAAAGCCUGAUCCAGCAAUGCCGCGUGAGUGAUGAAGGCCUUAGGGUUGUAAAGCUCUUUUACCAGGGAUGAUAAUGACAGUACCUGGAGAAUAAGCUCCGGCUAACUCCGUGCCAGCAGCCGCGGUAAUACGGAGGGAGCUAGCGUUGUUCGGAAUUACUGGGCGUAAAGCGCACGUAGGCGGCUAUUCAAGUCAGAGGUGAAAGCCCGGGGCUCAACCCCGGAACUGCCUUUGAAACUAGGUAGCUAGAAUCUUGGAGAGGUCAGUGGAAUUCCGAGUGUAGAGGUGAAAUUCGUAGAUAUUCGGAAGAACACCAGUGGCGAAGGCGACUGACUGGACAAGUAUUGACGCUGAGGUGCGAACGCGUGGGGAGCAAACA
rnacentral:rRNA from 1 species